rnacentral:rRNA from 1 species
AACGCGAAGAACCUUACCUACUCUUGACAUCCACGGAAUUCGGCAGAGAUGCCUUAGUGCCUUCGGGAACCGUGAGACAGGUGCUGCAUGGCUGUCGUCGGCUCGUGUUGUGGAAUGUUGGGUUAAGUCCCGCAACGAGCGCAACCCUUAUCCUUUGUUGCCAGCGGUUCGGCCGGGAACUCAAAGGAGACUGCCGGUGAUAAACCGGAGGAAGGUGGGGAUGACGCCAAGUCAUCAUGGCCCUUACGGCCAGGGCUACACACGUGCUACAAUGGCGCAUACAAAGAGAAGCGACCUCGCGAGAGCAAGCGGACCUCAUAAAGUGCGUCGUAGUCCGGAUUGGAGUCUGCAACUCGACUCCAUGAAGUCGGAAUCGCUAGUAAUCGUAGAUCAGAAUGCUACGGUGAAUACGUUCCCGGGCCUUGUACACACCG